AAGCCUAACACAUGCAAGUCGAACGGACAAUUAUUUAUAGCCUCUGGCUAUAGGAAAUUGUUAGUGGCAGACGGGUGAGUAAUGCGUAGGAAUCUACCUAGUAGUACGGAAUAGCCAUUAGAAAUGGUGGGUAAUACUGUAUAAUCCCCGAGGGGGAAAGAUUUAUCGCUAUUAGAUGAGCCUACGUUAGAUUAGCUAGUUGGUGAGGUAAUGGCUUACCAAGGCUAUGAUCUAUAGCUGGUCUGAGAGGACGAUCAGCCACACUGGAACUGAGAUACGGUCCAGACUCCUACGGGAGGCAGCAGUGGGGAAUAUUGGACAAUGGGCGAAAGCCUGAUCCAGCUAUGCCGCGUGAGUGAAGAAGGCCUUCGGGUUGUAAAACUCUUUCAAUAGGGAAGAUAAUGACGGUACCUAUAGAAGAAGUCCCGGCAAACUCUG
rnacentral:rRNA from 1 species